CUUGGUCUGACCACAACAUGACCUAUAUGGAUUUGAAAGAUCAAUAUAAUAGGCAAAGACUUGAAUGGAAACUAAAAGAAUUCCUAUUAGAUUCUCCCCGGAAAAGAAACUUUAAUCUCUUUAAUCUCUCUUUACUUCAAAGAAAAUCUCUCUCUCUUCAUCUAUAAAUACAUGGUCAGCUUUUAAAUGCAUUAUAAGGAGCCCUU